CUAAAACAGACAGACACUACUUUCAGUUCUCAGUAUAAUUCUACACUUUGAAAAAUCAGGUUUAAGUCCCUUUUUAAACUGCUCUCCAAGAUCCGGUUACCUAGAAGACCCCUAGAGGGCUUACUCAGCACUCAUUGCAUUCAUGUUUGCAGUAUCAUAGUGGGGAGCAAUGUGAUCCACAACCAGUACACUACACUAAACCAUGUUGGGAAUUUGUG